rnacentral:rRNA from 1 species
GCAACCUACCUUUAACAGGGGAAUAACCCGUUGAAAAACGGACUAAUACUCCAUAACACAGGGGUCCCGCAUGGGAAUAUUUGUCAAAGAUUAAUCGGUUGAAGAUGGGCAUGCGUUCCAUUAGCUUGUUGGUGAGGUAACGGCUCACCAAGGCCACGAUGGAUAGGGAACUGAGAGGUUUAUCCCCCACACUGGAACUGAGACACGGUCCAGACUCCUACGGGAGGCAGCAGUGAGGAAUAUUGGUCAAUGGAGGCAACUCUGAACCAGCCAAGUCGCGUGAAGGAUGAAGGUCUUAUGGAUUGUAAACUUCUUUUGCAAGGGAAUAAAGUGGGGGACGUGUCCUCCUUUGCAUGUACCUUGCGAAUAAGGAUCGGCUAACUCCGUGCCAGCCGCCGC